rnacentral:tRNA from 1 species
GGGCCCGUGCGGUACGGCGCCGAGGCCGGGCUGAUCCUGCUCGCCGGGGCCGACCGGUGCGUGGCCGCCCCGCUCGACCCGGGGCAGGCCGA